AUCAGCAAAGACUCAAAUAUAUAUCAUAGAUAAUCUGAUCACAAAUCCACAAUUCAUCGGAUAUCGACAAACAAACCGCCAAAGAAGAUUACAUCAGAUAGAUCUCCAUGAAGAUCAUGGAGAACUUUGUAUUGAAGAUCCAAGAGAGAGAAGAAGCCAUCUAGCUACUAACUACGGACCCGUAGGUCUGAAGUGAACUACUCACGAGUCAUUGGAGGGG
rnacentral:lncRNA from 1 species